rfam:Pristionchus pacificus strain PS312 contig3766, whole genome shotgun sequence.
UCUUCAUUUCAAGUGCUCUCUCACCGGUCAGAGAGGCGAGAGAGUGUACGAAAUGAAGAGA